rnacentral:rRNA from 1 species
CGUUCCCGGGCCUUGUACACACCGCCCGUCACACCAUGGGAGUGGGCUGCAAAAGAAGUGGGUAGUUUAACCUUUCGAGGAGGACGCUCACCACUUUGUGGUUCAUGACUGGGGUGAAGUCGUAACAAGGUAGCCCUAGGGGAACCUGGGGCUGGAUCACCUCCUUA